rnacentral:lncRNA from 1 species
UAAUUUAAUUAUUUUUAUUCUCUUCAUCGUCAAUUUAAGGUAUAGUUUUGAUGAAAUAAUUACGCUGGGAGACACAAGUUCAGUUUCCAUUUUCUCUAAAAGACACAUUGUAUAUAUGACACACUUUCUCAUAGCAAAUUGACUAACAUAACCUUUAAGUAAGACAAUAAGAUAGUUUCUUUAUUCUUUCUUUAGUUAGCCUUUCUAAAGAAUAAAAUAAACUCUAUUUGUUUUUUUUUUAAACAAAAAUCUUAUUUUUCCAGAUUCCCAAAUUCAGAAAAGUAAUCCUAACUCCUUUACCUCUCGACAUUUUUUCGAUUUGGAAAUCGAAUUCUGGAAACGAACCAUAAUCUUCUCGAUCCAAAAUUCUCCCUAACCCCCUUUUUCCAUGCCAACAUCUUCUCCAUCUCUAUUCUCAAGCAUACAUCUAUUGGUCUUCUCUACCGUCUAUGGAAGCGAUGGUGGCUAUGAACAAGGUGGUGGUAGCUAUAAACGGCGGCGCUUAGUUCCAUGGAAGCGGUGGUGGACACCGUAGUGAGAUGGGAGUGGAUACCAUAGUGGAGGCAGUGGUGGUUAUGGAGGAGGCGGUGGAGACGUGAUAGUUAUGAAGGUGACAAUAGCUCUCUUGGUCAAUGUGUGCGUGGAUAUUGUUUGAUGUGGUCGGAAGAGUUGUGGAUGAGGAUCGGUGGCUCUCUUGGUCAAUGUGUGUGUGGAUAUUGUUUGAUGUGGUCGGAAGAGUUGUGGAUGAGGAUCUCGUUUUCAGUGGUUGUGUUGAUGUUGUCAAGAGAAUCGUGGUUAAGAAAAUUGUGGUCAAGAGAAUUGUGGUUAAGAAAAUUGUGUUAUAGAAGAGAGCAUUGUGGAUAAGAUAGUUAUGGACAAGAUACUUGUGGUCAAGAGAAUUGUGUUAACAUUUUUAUAAAGAAGCCAUGCAAUUCAAACCUCGUACUCACAAACAUGUAU